rnacentral:rRNA from 1 species
GGAUUAGAUACCCUGGUAGUCCACGCCGUAAACUAUGAGUGCUAGGUGUUCAAAGGGUCUCGGUUCCCUUGAGCGCCGACGCUAACGCAAUAAGCACUCCGCCUGAGUAGUACGGCCGCAAGGCUAAAACUCAAAGGAAUAGACGGGGGCCCACACAAGCGGUGGAGCAUGUGGUUUAAUUCGACAGUAAGCGAGGAACCUUACCUAGGCUUGACAUCCCGAGAACUUUAUCGAAAGGUAGAGGUGCCGCAAGGAACUCGGAGACAGGUGCUGCAUGGUUGUCGUCAGCUCGUGCCG